GAGGAAUAUUGGACAAUGGAUGGAAAUCUGAUCCAGCCAUGCCGCGUGCAGGAAGACGGUCCUAUGGAUUGUAAACUGCUUUUUUAUGGGAGCAAUAAGGUCUACGUGUAGAUCGAUGAGAGUACCAUAAGAAUAAGCACCGGCUAACUCCGUGCCAGCAGCCGCGGUAAUACGGAGGGUGCAAGCGUUAUCCGGAUUUAUUGGGUUUAAAGGGUGCGUAGGCGGUACGUUAAGUCAGUGGUGAAAUUUUUCGGCUCAACCGGAACAUUGCCGUUGAUACUGGCGUGCUAGAAUAUGGUUGCUGUGAGUAGAAUGUGUGGUGUAGCGGUGAAAUGCAUAGAUAUCACACAGAAUACCGAUUGCGAAGGCAUCUCACAAAGCCAUUAUUGACGCUGAGGCACGAAAGUGUGGGGAUCAAAC
rnacentral:rRNA from 1 species